UACGGGGGGAGCAAGCGUUGUUCGGAUUUACUGGGCGUAAAGGGCGCGUAGGCGGCCACCGCAAGUCGACUGUGAAAUCUCCGGGCUUAACCCGGAAAGGUCAGCCGAUACUGCGGGGCUAGAGUGCAGAAGGGGCAACUGGAAUUCUCGGUGUAGCGGUGAAAUGCGUAGAGAUCGGGAGGAACACCAGAGGCGAAGGCGGCGACCUGGACAAUUACUGACACUCAACUACGAAAGCGUGGGGAGCAAACAGG
rnacentral:rRNA from 1 species